GAUGAACGCUGGCGGCGUGCCUAAUACAUGCAAGUCGAGCGAACAGACGAGGAGCUUGCUCCUCUGACGUUAGCGGCGGACGGGUGAGUAACACGUGGAUAACCUACCUAUAAGACUGGGAUAACUUCGGGAAACCGGAGCUAAUACCGGAUAAUAUAUUGAACCGCAUGGUUCAAUAGUGAAAGACGGUUUUGCUGUCACUUAUAGAUGGAUCCGCGCCGCAUUAGCUAGUUGGUAAGGUAACGGCUACCAAGGCAACGAUGCGUAGCCGACCUGAGAGGGUGAUCGGCCACACUGGAACUGAGACACGGUCCAGACUCCUACGGGAGGCGGCAGUAGGGAAUCUUCCGCAAUGGGCGAAAGCCUGACGGAGCAACGCCGCGUGAGUGAUGAAGGUCUUCGGAUCGUAAAACUCUGUUAUUAGGGAAGAACAAAUGUGUAAGUAACUAUGCACGUCUUGACGGUACCUAAUCAGAAAGCCACGGCUAACUACGUG
rnacentral:rRNA from 1 species